UCCCGUAUUGCACUUACUGUUUUGUUACAUUCCCGUAUCCCGCUUACACUAUGUGCGUAAGCAAUUCUCAUUUUUUUGUCAUUUUCUGGGUCCCACAAGACCUCAUUUCCCGUUUUCACCACACAAUAAUUUGACUUUCACGUUUCACGCUUACGAAAAAUCGGCAAUCCCGCAUCACGCUUAGACCCCAAUGAGACCCACCUGA
rnacentral:lncRNA from 1 species